AGUCUGAAUAAAGGCAGGUUGUGGGUAGCUAGAGAGGUAGUCUGAAUAAAGGCAGGUUAUGGAGAGGUAGUCUGAAUAAAGGCAGGUUGUGGAGAGGUAGUCUGAAUAAAGGCAGGUUGUGGGUAGCUAGAGAGGUAGUCUGAAUAAAGGCAGGUUGUGGGUAGCUAGAGAGGUAGUCUGAAUAAAGGCAGGUUGUGGGUAGCUAGAGAGGUAGUCUGAAUAAAGGCAGGUUGUGGAGAGGUA